CGCGUAGGCGGAUGUUACAGUCAGGCGUGAAAUUCCUGGGCUCAACCUGGGGGCUGCGUUUGAUACGUGAUGUCUGGAGUUCGGAAGAGGGUCGUGGAAUUCCCAGUGUAGAGGUGAAAUUCGUAGAUAUUGGGAAGAACACCGGUGGCGAAGGCGGCGACCUGGUCCGAUACUGACGCUGAGGCGCGAAAGCGUGGGGAGCAAACAGGAUUAGAUACCCUGGUAGUCCACGCUGUAAGCGAUGUGCGCUGGAUGUUGGGUGACCUAGUCAUUCAGUGUCGUAGCUAACGCGAUAAGCGCACCGCCUGGGGAGUACGGCCGCAAGGUUGAA
rnacentral:rRNA from 1 species